rnacentral:rRNA from 1 species
CCUACGGGAGGCAGCAGUGAGGAAUAUUGGUCAAUGGGCGGGAGCCUGAACCAGCCAAGCCGCGGGAGGGAAGAAGGUAAAGCGUAUCGUAAACCUCUUUUGUCAGGGAACAAAGGCGGGGACUAGUCCCCGGAUGAGGGUACCUGAAGAAAAAGCAUCGGCUAACUCCGUGCCAGCAGCCGCGGGAAUACGCGGGAUGCGAGUGUUAGCCGGAUUGAUUGGGCUUAAAGGUGGCGCAGGCGGCCUUUUAAGGCAGCGGUAAAAGCCCGGGGCUCAACCCCGGCGAGCCGUUGAAACUGGCGGGCUGGAGUUGGAGAGAAGUACUCGGGAUGCGCGGUGUAGCGGGGAAAUGCUUAGAUCUCGCGCAGAACCCCGAUUGCGAAGGCAGCGUACCGGCUCCACACUGACUCUGAGGCACGAAAGCGUGGGUAUCGAACAGGAUUAGAUACCCGAGUAGUC